rnacentral:rRNA from 1 species
GACGGGGGAUGCAAGUGUUAUCCGGAAUCACUGGGCGUAAAGCGUCUGUAGGUGGUCAAAUAAGUCAACUGUUAAAUCUUGAGGCUCAACCUCAAAAUCGCAGUCGAAACUAUUAGACUAGAGUAUAGUAGGGGUAAAGGGAAUUUCCAGUGGAGCGGUGAAAUUCGUAGAUAUUCGGAAGAACACCAGUGGCGAAGGCGGCUCACUGGCCCGGUACUGACGCUGAGGUGCGAAAGCGUGGGGAGCAAACAGG